GAUGAACGCUGGCGGCGUGCCUAAUACAUGCAAGUCGAGCGAACAGACGAGGAGCUUGCUCCUCUGACGUUAGCGGCGGACGGGUGAGUAACACGUGGAUAACCUACCUAUAAGACUGGGAUAACUUCGGGAAACCGGAGCUAAUACCGGAUAAUAUAUUGAACCGCAUGGUUCAAUAGUGAAAGACGGUUUUGCUGUCACUUAUAGAUGGAUCCGCGCCGCAUUAGCUAGUUGGUAAGGUAACGGCUUACCAAGGCAACGAUGCGUAGCCGACCUGAGAGGGUGAUCGGCCACACUGGAACUGAGACACGGUCCAGACUCCUACGGGAGGCAGCAGUAGGGAAUCUUCCGCAAUGGGCGAAAGUCUGACGGAGCAACGCCGCGUCAGUGAUGAAGGUCUUCGGAUCGUAAAACUCUGUUAUUAGGGAAGAACAAAUGUGUAAGUAACUAUGCACGUCUUGACGGUACCUAAUCAGAAAGCCACGGCUAACUACGUG
rnacentral:rRNA from 1 species